CAGCCGCCGCGGGAAUACGGAGGGAGCUAGCGUUGUUCGGAAUCACUGGGCGUAAAGCGCACGUAGGCGGCUAUUCAAGUCAGGGGUGAAAGCCCGGGGCUCAACCCCGGAACUGCCUUUGAAACUAGAUAGCUUGAAUCUUGGAGAGGCGAGUGGAAUUCCGAGUGUAGAGGUGAAAUUCGUAGAUAUUCGGAAGAACACCAGUGGCGAAGGCGACUCGCUGGACAAGUAUUGACGCUGAGGUGCGAAAGCGUGGGGAGCAAACAGGAUUAGAUACCCCUGUAGUCCCUGUCUCUUAUAA
rnacentral:rRNA from 1 species